AACGAACGCUGGCGGCAUGCCUAACACAUGCAAGUCGAACGAGACCUUCGGGUCUAGUAGCGCACGGGUGCGUAACGCGUGGGAACCUGCCCUUAGGUUCGGAAUAACUCCCCGAAAGGGGUGCUAAUACCGGAUAAUGUCUUCGGACCAAAGAUUUAUCGCCUUUGGAUGGGCCCGCGUUGGAUUAGCUAGUUGGUAGGGUAAAAGCCUACCAAGGCGACGAUCCAUAGCUGGUCUGAGAGGAUGAUCAGCCACACUGGGACUGAGACACGGCCCAGACUCCUACGGGAGGCAGCAGUGGGGAAUAUUGGACAAUGGGCGAAAGCCUGAUCCAGCCAUGCCGCGUGAGUGAUGAAGGCCUUAGGGUUGUAAAGCUCUUUUACCCGGGAUGAUAAUGACAGUACCGGGAGAAUAAGCUCCGGCUAACUCCGUG
rnacentral:rRNA from 1 species